GACUAAACCAGGACUAAACCAGGACUAAACCAGGACUAAACCAGGACUAAACCAGGACUAAACAAGGUCUAAACCAGGACUAAACCAGGACUAAACCAGGACUAAAACAGGACUAAACCAGGUCUAAACCAGGACUAAACCAGGACUAAACCAGGACUGAACCAGGACUAAACCGGGACUAAACCAGGACUAAACCAGGUCUAAACCAGGACUAAACCAGGACUAAACCAGGACUAAACCGGGACUGAACCGGGACUAAACCAGGACUGAACCAGGACUAAACCAGGACUAAAACAGGACUAAACCAGGACUAAAACAGGACUAAACCGGGACUGAACCGGGACUAAACC
ensembl:lncRNA